UACGUAGGGCGCAAGCGUUGUCCGGAAUUAUUGGGCGUAAAGAGCUCGUAGGCGGCUUGUCACGUCGGAUGUGAAAGCCCGAGGCUUAACCUCGGGUCUGCAUUCGAUACGGGCUAGCUAGAGUGUGGUAGGGGAGAUCGGAAUUCCUGGUGUAGCGGUGAAAUGCGCAGAUAUCAGGAGGAACACCGGUGGCGAAGGCGGAUCUCUGGGCCUUACCUGACGCUCAGGUGCGAAAGCUAGGGGAGCGAACAGG
rnacentral:rRNA from 1 species